rnacentral:ncRNA from 2 species
AUAAACUAAGGUGAUGGAGUUCACCUUUAACCGCCUUUUGGCUAAUGACUCCUACAGAUAA